rnacentral:tRNA from 1 species
AAGAAAGAAUGCAAGAACUGCUAAUUCAUGCUUCCACGCCUAAAUCCGUGGCUUUCUUA